rnacentral:rRNA from 1 species
CAGUCGCCGCGGUAAUACGGAGGGCGCGAGCGUUACCCGGAUUUACUGGGCGUAAAGGGCGUGUAGGCGGCCUGGGGCGUCCCAUGUGAAAGGCCACGGCUCAACCGUGGAGGAGCGUGGGAUACGCUCAGGCUAGAGGGUGGGAGAGGGUGGUGGAAUUCCCGGAGUAGCGGUGAAAUGCGCAGAUACCGGGAGGAACGCCGAUGGCGAAGGCAGCCACCUGGUCCACUUCUGACGCUGAGGCGCGUAAGCGUGGGGAGCAAACAGGAUUAGAUACCCGCGUAGUCCCUGUCUCUUAUAC